rnacentral:lncRNA from 1 species
GGAAGUGGAGGCUGGGUGUCACGUCCAGCUGGGGUUCAGCUGACAGGAAGGGAGCCAGUCUCCUCCCUGGGCAGAGACAGUGCUGAUGGCUCAGAACCCAGCUCUCAGCCCCAGACGGAUCAGUUCACUCAGCAUGGAGCUAACUCUCCUGCUGCCGCUGCUGGUCGCUCUCCAGAUUCUCCCCAGGCCAGUGCUCCCUGCAGGUGCCCUUGCGGCCCCAUCCCUGUCCCUGAACCCCCAGAAGCAGGAGUACUUCCCCGGAGACACUGUUGAAAUCAAGUGCUCUGCUCCUCCUUCGGUGGAUAGAGUUGAAGGAUUCCAGUACUACAGCAAUAUCGGAAGGGCCAUCUCAGUCCCAGCUUCAUCCAGGAGAAGCCAUACUUACAACAUAAACCUCACAGGGCCUAAGGAUGGGGGGUCGUACCAGUGCGACUACUGGAUAGGUCAAGCCGGUUCUUGGAACAGGUCCAGCAGGAGUGACGCUGUCCUCAUCAGAGUAAAAGACUUCCCUCCCUGGCCGGCGUUGAGUGUGGAUCCUCCGUCCGGAGUGGUGAGCGAAGGGCUCCCCCUGCUCAUCAUCUGCACGGCCCCCAGCAAUGCUAGUGAGCGAAGGUUUCACUUCUACAAGGAAGGAGCUGAGCUCAUCCCUGGGGACGUGGGGUCUGAGGUCAGCACCACAGAGACCAGGACCGGAUCUAUGAUGCUCAGCAUCCCGCGAGCUGGUCCCUACAGCGCCGGGGAAUUCACCUGUGCGUACGAGGAGAACAUGAGCGGGAGGUGGAUUCUGUCCCUAAGGAGCUUGGCUGUGAAUGUUACCAUGACAGCACACAGCCAUUCCUGGGUCCGGGAGCUCGCUGUGGGUGGGUCCUUCUUCACCAUUAAUAGCCUCAUCUUCCUCAUCUCCCACCUCUGCACGAAGGGCAAAGGUUCCAAGGAGGAGCACACAAGCGCCUCAGACCCAUUUCAAUCAGAUUAUUACUCAGUCCCGGUUCAGUUGGUCACUGGUCAGUCUGGUCAUUCUGCGACCGCCAAGGCAAACCACGUCUCCAG